rnacentral:ncRNA from 2 species
AACAGGGAAGCCGGUGCAAGGCCGGCGCGGUCGCGCCACUGUGACCGGGGAGUGAACCCGACGGAGCCACUGGGAGCGAUCCCGGGAAGGGUCGGGGGAGCGACGAUCCGGGAGCCAGGAGACCU